UACAGAGGGUGCAAGCGUUAAUCGGAAUUACUGGGCGUAAAGCGUGCGUAGACGGUUAUGUAAGUCGGGUGUGAAAGCCCCGGGCUCAACCUGGGAAUGCCAUUCGAGACUGCAUAGCUAGGGUGCGGAAGAGGGAAGCGGAAUUUCCGGUGUAGCGGUGAAAUGCGUAGAUAUCGGAAGGAACACCAGUGGCGAAAGCGGCUUCCUGGUCCAGCACCGACGUUCAGGCACGAAAGCGUGGGGAGCAACAGG
rnacentral:rRNA from 1 species